GACGAACGCUGGCGGCGUGCCUAAUACAUGCAAGUAGAGCGCUGAAGAGAGGAGCUUGCUCUUCUUGGAUGAGUUGCGAACGGGUGAGUAACGCGUAGGUAACCUGCCUUGUAGCGGGGGAUAACUAUUGGAAACGAUAGCUAAUACCGCAUAACAAUGGAUGACCCAUGUCAUUUAUUUGAAAGGGGCAAAUGCUCCACUACAAGAUGGACCUGCGUUGUAUUAGCUAGUAGGUGAGGUAACGGCUCACCUAGGCGACGAUACAUAGCCGACCUGAGAGGGUGAUCGGCCACACUGGGACUGAGACACGGCCCAGACUCCUACGGGAGGCAGCAGUAGGGAAUCUUCGGCGAUGGGGGCAACCCUGACCGAGCAACGCCGCGUGAGUGAAGAAGGUUUUCGGAUCGGAAAGCUCUGUUGUAAGUCAAGAACGAGUGUGAGGGUGGAAAGUUCACACUGUGACGGUAGCUUACCAGAAAGGGACGGCUAACUACGUG
rnacentral:rRNA from 1 species